GACAGAGGGUGCAAACGUUGUUCGGAAUUACUGGGCGUAAAGGGCGCGUAGGCGGCCUGCUAAGUCGAACGUGAAAUCCCCGGGCUCAACCCGGGAACUGCGUCCGAUACUGGUUGGCUUGAAUCCGGGAGAGGGAUGCGGAAUUCCAGGUGUAGCGGUGAAAUGCGUAGAUAUCUGGAGGAACACCGGUGGCGAAGGCGGCAUCCUGGACCGGCAUUGACGCUGAGGCGCGAAAGCCAGGGGAACAAACGGG
rnacentral:rRNA from 1 species